AUGAACGCUGGCGGCGUGCUUAAUACAUGCAAGUCGAGCGGCAACAUGCUUCUCACCGAGGUUCGAAGCCAUUAACCAUUGACCUGUAACAUGUGACCAUACUGUAACCACUAUGAUGUAACGAUUAAUCGUGACAGGUAACAGGGUAAUGUUUGGUGACAGGUGACAGGAUAAUUGAUAAUGCUUCAUCUUCGAGCUUUAGUGAGAAGUGAUGGCGAGCGGCGGACGGCUGAGUAACGCGUAGGAACGUACCCCAAAGUGAGGGAUAACUGCCCGAAAGGGUAGCUAAUACCGCAUACGGUAGUGCUUUUCACCUACGGUGCAAAGCAGGAGAAAGAAGCAAGGAGAAAGGAGAAAGGGAAAAGCUACAACAGCAGAACCCUUACUCCCUACUUCUUACUCCCUACUUCUGCUCUGAACGUAAGUGAAGAGCAUUAUUAAAGCUUCGGCGCUAUGGGAACGGCCUGCGUUUGAUUAGCUUGUUGGUGAGGUAAUGGCUUACCAAGGCGACGAUCAAUAGCUGGUCUGAGAGGAUGACCAGCCAGACUGGGACUGAGACACGGCCCAGACUCCUACGGGAGGCAGCAGUAGGGAAUUUUCCACAAUGGGGGCAACCCUGAUGGAGCAACGCCGCGUGCAGGAUGAAGGCCCUCGGGUCGUAAACUGCUUUUCUGGGGGAAGAUUAUGACGGUACUCCAGGAAUAAGGGUCGGCUAACUACGUGCCAGCAGCCGCGGUCAUACGUAGGACCCAAGCGUUAUCCGGAAUUACUGGGCGUAAAGAGUUGCGUAGGUGGCAGAGUAAGUAGGUAGUGAAAGCGUGUGGCUCAACCAUACAUCCAUUACCUAAACUGCUCAGCUAGAAGAUGGGAGAGGUAGCUGGAAUUCCUAGUGUAGGAGUGAAAUCCGUAGAUAUUAGGAGGAACACCGAUGGCGUAGGCAGGCUACUGGCCCAUUCUUGACACUCAGGCACGAAAGCGUGGGGAGCGAACGGGAUUAGAUACCCCGGUAGUCCACGCCGUAAACGAUGGAUGCUAGCUGUUAUCCGUAUCGACCCGGGUAGUAGCGUAGCUAACGCGUUAAGCAUCCCGCCUGUGGAGUACGGCCGCAAGGCUAAAACAUAAAGGAAUUGACGGGGACCCGCACAAGCGGUGGAGCGUGUGGUUUAAUUCGAGGAUAAGCGAAGAACCUUACCAGGGUUUGACAUCCUGCUCAUUUCUCCGAAAGGAGAAAGUGCCUUCGGGCCGCAGUGACAGGUGAUGCAUGGCCGUCGUCAGCUCGUGUCGUGAGAUGUUUGGUUAAGUCCAUUAACGAGCGCAACCCUUAUAGUCAGUUGGAUUUCUCUGGCUAGACUGCCCUGGCAACAGGGAGGAAGGAGGGGAUGAUGUCAGGUCCGUAUUUCCCUUACACCCUGGGCUACUCACACGCUACAAUGGCCGGUACAAAGGGCUGCCAACCCGCGAGGGGGAGCAAAUCCCAUCAAAGCCGGUCUCAGUUCGGAUAGCAGGCUGAAACCCGUCUGCUUGAAGCUGGAAUCGCUAGUAACGGUAGGUCAGCAUUACUACCGUGAUACAUUCCCGGGUGGUUGACUCACC
rnacentral:rRNA from 1 species